CUGCUGCAACUCCCUUCGCAUCUCCUCGGUAGUCUCUUUUUCCCCGAGCCGCUUGGACGUGAAGACCUGUGUGCUGUAACUAGGAGGUCUGCACGGUUCAGAUACCGAACUACUGACAGAAUGGAUUUCAUUCUUCCCUGCGCAAAUUGUCUCUCUUCUUCUUUGAUUAAAAAUAAACUCAAGCCUAAUUUCCCAGAAGGAAAUACGAAAAAACGAAGACGAUUUUUUUUUGUUCUCUGGAAUAGCUACACGGUGUAAUGCAACAUGAGAAGACAUCGUUUAAAUAAAAUAACAGGAAGCAAUAAGGGUCCAGAGGGGAGAAGAGAAAUAGGAGGGGAUGACGAACCUUUUCAAUAUGUGGUAACUCUUCAAGGAAAACAAUGUUAUCUGCAGGCUAACUUCUCCCAAAGUCAAGAGAGCAAAGCGAUGCAAUAACCAACAGCACAAACCAUCUUCUCUUCAAGUCUAUUUAAAAUGUAAAUCAAAAAUGUUUGAAUCCAAAGUAAAUAUGAGAAUCUCACUCUUG